rnacentral:rRNA from 1 species
AACGAACGCUGGCGGCAUGCCUAACACAUGCAAGUCGAACGAGCCCUUCGGGGUCAGUGGCGCACGGGUGCGUAACGCGUGGGAACCUACCCUUUGGUUCGGAAUAACUCCCCGAAACUGGUGCUAAUACCGGAUAAUCUCUUCGGACCAAAGAUUUAUCGCCUAAGGAUCGGCCCGCGUUGGAUUAGCUAGUUGGUAGGGUAAAAGCCUACCAAGGCGACGAUCCAUAGCUGGUCUGAGAGGAUGAUCAGCCACACUGGGACUGAGACACGGCCCAGACUCCUACGGGAGGCAGCAGUGGGGAAUAUUGGACAAUGGGCGAAAGCCUGAUCCAGCAAUGCCGCGUGAGUGAUGAAGGCCUUAGGGUUGUAAAGCUCUUUUACCCGGGAAGAUAAUGACAGUACCGGAAGAAUAAGCCCCGGCUAACUCCGUG